CAGCCUCUGUGUGCAGGAAAUCAUAAUUUUUUUGCUAGCCUCGGCCCUCAGCCUGAGGGUCCCCGUUUCUUAGACUCCAGCACCGCGGCUGC
rnacentral:lncRNA from 1 species